rnacentral:rRNA from 1 species
AUGAACAGAAAACUUAACCAACUACGAUACAUGAGAGCCAUUGCCCUCUCCAUCAUCUUCUCACCACCUCCAACUUGUGAUGGCCAACUGAGCACCAUGCACCUCCUCAACAACCCGGCUGCCACACUACACAGGUUCCGUAGAACCAUCCACACUCGCCUCAAUGUCCUCAGCCCGUCUUCUCCACAGGCACGACGGCCUCUUCGGCCACUGACCUCUUCCAUCUUCUCCACAGGCACGACGGCCUCUCCGGGCAACUCCUGCCCCAGCCAUCUUCUCCUCAGGCACGACGGCCUCUCCCAUGGUCAGGCCUCAACCAUUCUCACCUCAGGCACGACGGCCUCUCCCCCGGACACUUCCUCAUCACCAACCACACUCAAGCCGCAGCCUCAUCAUCUCCAUCAUCACCACAUCUCCCUCUCUCCCCCUAAAAGAAAAUCCAUCUGGCUGCCAUCAGUAGCAGCAUCUCUCUCCUUGGUCCUUGCAGCGAACCAAGGCAUCUCUCCCCCUCUGCUCCUUGCACCAAGCACGGAGGAGCAACAACACCACAGCCAGCGCAACAUCUCAUCCUUCUCCCCCAUCUCAUCCUUCUCCCCCUCAGCAGCACCAGCAGCUGCGACCAACUCCUCUUCCAAACAGCAGCAGCAACUAGCACACAGGAGCCACAAGCAGCUGCCCUUCUCUUUCUCCUAUGCCUCCUCUCCGUCUCCUGCAGCAGCAGCACACAACCUUCCUUCUUACUCUUUUGUCAGCAGCAGCAGCAGAACACAGCAGCCGCCAGGACCACAGCGCCCAACAGCACCUCCUCUUCCUCACGCGCCGCUACACUUGGACGCAACCACAGCAGCUACAGAUGCAGCCACAACAGCAGCAACAACAGAGUCAGCCUCCUUCUCCUCUUCCUCCUUGGCCGCUCCUCCUCUGUUUCCUUCUCGCCGCGCACAACCUCACCUCCUCUUCUGCACCAGCAGCUCAACUCCUCUCUUUUUUUUUACUUCCAGCAGCAGGCAGCACCAGGACAACAGCAGCACUUGGCGCGCGCGCAGGCGCACCUCAGCUCCUCUUCUUCCUUUUCUUUCCCUCUUCUGCCCGCACGCAGCCUCUCCAUGCCUCACUUGCCGCGCGCGCAGCCGCUCGCCAGCGCCACGCCGCCUGCCCAGCGACCCACAGCCAUGGCCAGCGCGUGCUGUGCAUCCCAGCGCCUCCUCGCAGCGCCGCCUAGAGCACGAGCACGAGCUCGAACUCCAAGCCCCAGAUCCGCAUCUCCCGGCCUUCUGCACGCGCCCACCGCGCCGAGCUCGCCAGAUCCAGUCCGCACACGCGCUCAUCAUGCCCGCGCCUUGCUCGCGCGUGCAGCUCGCCGCCGCCACCCGCGCACAGCUCCCAGCCAGCCCCCGCCGCGAAUCCACGCCGAGAGCAGCUCCUGGACACCGCGCCCAGAUCCGCCGACCGCGCAGCUCCGCCCGGAUCCGCCUCCUUCCUUCACGUCCCCGCCGCCUCCUUCCCUAG